rnacentral:rRNA from 1 species
UACAGAGGUCCCAAGCGUUGUUCGGAUUCACUGGGCGUAAAGGGUGCGUAGGUGGCAGGGUAAGUUUGAUGUGAAAUCUCCGGGCUUAACCCGGAAACUGCAUUGAAUACUAUCUUGCUCGAGGGUUGGAGGGGGGACUGGAAUACUUGGUGUAGCAGUGAAAUGCGUAGAUAUCAAGUGGAACACCAGUGGCGAAGGCGAGUCCCUGGACAACUCCUGACACUGAGGCACGAAAGCUAGGGGAGCAAACAGG